rnacentral:rRNA from 1 species
UCCAGACUCCUACGGGAGGCAGCAGUGGGGAAUAUUGGGCAAUGGGCGCAAGCCUGACCCAGCAACGCCGCGUGAAGGAAGAAGGCUUUCGGGUUGUAAACUUCUUUUCUCAGGGACGAAGAAAGUGACGGUACCUGAGGAAUAAGCCACGGCUAACUACGUGCCAGCAGCCGCGGUAAUACGUAGGUGGCAAGCGUUAUCCGGAUUUACUGGGUGUAAAGGGCGUGUAGGCGGGAGUGCAAGUCAGAUGUGAAAACCACGGGCUCAACCUGUGGCCUGCAUUUGAAACUGUACUUCUUGAGUACUGGAGAGGCAGACGGAAUUCCUAGUGUAGCGGUGAAAUGCGUAGAUAUUAGGAGGAACACCAGUUGCGAAGGCGGCUCUCUGGACUGUAACUGACGCUGAGGCACGAAAGCGUGGGGAGCAAACAGGAUUAGAUACCCCUGUAAC